GCAGUUGCAGCGCCAGGCAGUAUUCCUAAUUUUCUCUUCUUUUUUUUCUUUCUUGAGGCGGUCACCUCUGUGGAAUGGGUAUUCAUUACAUCUUCUCUUGAAUCUUCGAAUUUCAGCGAGGUAGAGAACGAGAUCUCCGGAACCACUAGCUAGUGAGUUCCCGUUUUCACCGUCUCCGACGAAACUGUUCGAACUGGAAGGGGACCCUCGCUUUCCUUGUCUCUUCUUCUAGUGCUGGUAAGAGGAAUGAAUGUCAGACAUUCGUAAUGGCAGGAAGGACGCUUCGUCACCAUUAACGAAUAAUCUCUGGAAAGAAAAUCAUAAACGUAUGUAAGUCCAGCACUCUCUUCGUUCUAUCUGUCAGUCUAGCAAUCUAAGGAUUCGCAGCCUUGAUCAGUCUAUCCCCAUUCCCCCCAUUCCCGUAUUGGGUAACGGUUCCCUUUCUUCCUUGCGUUCGAUUAUGGGUCCCUGCCCUCGCAUAUAUUAUCUGACAGGAAAUUAGUAAAUCCCAGUCACGGCAAAUCGAGUGGGGCUUUUUUAGCUUGAUACUGUGCUGGAGGCAGAAAUUCUGGUGUCCGUAAUUUGAUUUAAGAACUAGUUCUGAAAAAUAUGGUUCAUGUGGGGGAUGAUUUUGAUUUACUCGAUGACAUAUGUUUGGAAAAACUCUAGCCUCUAAAUUGCAUAAUGAUAUUCAAUUUGGUCUUAUCAAAUUACCAUCAAGUAUAACUAUGAAUUUGAAAGGAAUAUCUUAUGAAACUGGCAAUGGGUUGUUGCCCUUUCGGUACAUAAGUUAAGCAUGACCCCAGUAAAUUUAUGGAAGUUUUGAACUUAUGCAAUGAAAAAGGCUUUUGUUUGUCUAGGCAUGUGUCGUCGGGCGGAACUUUUGUACAUGUUCUCUUUGCUAUGCGCAAAUUUGACAUUUGUUCGUUGGUUACAUGUGGGAUUCUUCGACGGUGUACUCGGUACAAUUCUUGGUCGUGCAAGUGUAUUUUUAUGCGUUUUUUGUGGGUUCCUGUGAAUAACUUAAUGCUUAAUGUUGUGUUUUAGCCGGAAAAUAUUGUGUCUGUAAUUUGAAUUAAGAACCAGUUCACAAAAAUCUGGUUCAUGUGGGGAUGAUUUUUAAUUGCUCAAUGACAUAUGUUUGUACAAACACUAGCCUCUCUAUUGCAUAAUGAUUCUCAAUUUGGUCGUAUCAAUCAUAGUUAUGAAUUUGAAAGGAAUAUCUUAUGAAAUUGGCAAAGGGUUGUUGCCCUUUGAGUGCAUAAGUUUAAACAUGAUCAUGAUACAUUUAUGGAAGUUUGGAACAUUAUGCAACAAAAGAGGUUCUUGUUUGUCUAGACAUGUUUCGUUGGGCAGAACUUUUGUACAUACUGAGCUUGCUCAAUUAGAUGUAUCCUAUUGGGGUAGUUUAUGCUAUUGUGUUGGAUUCUUUCAUCGUCCUGCCAGAAUAAUCAACACAUCUUGCGAUAAUCUUAUUCUCAUGAUUGAUUUGGGUCUCUCUCUGUUUGGAUUUUUGUAAAUGAGAAUGAUUCUGGUAAUAUGAAUGGGGUUUCUUUACGAGUGAAUGCGGUUCCUCAUCUCUCAGUUCAUUGGGUUAUCCGUUAAAGUUUUGGUUCAUUGGAGAAGAGUGUUUCUGUUAUUCUCUUGGCUGUAGGAAAGGGCAAAAGAAUGGGUGUAAGUCUCCUUACUUCCUUUGGAGUUCUUUUAUUCAUCUAUGAUGAACACUACUUCUUACAGUUAUUCUUUUCAGAUAUGUCAUCUUAUGGCUUUGCAAAGGUUCAAUAUUCGUAGUUUUUUGUAGUUGAUUAUAGGAUAUAUUGUCAUAUUCAUGUUGGCUAUCAUUGAAGAAAAUUUAAAUUCUUCGCAUCUCUGUUUCAAUUUGGUGGAUCUUAUUUGACAUUGUUACCUGCAUCACAUCCUUUUGUCGAUAUUUUCAGCAUAUCAAGGGCAAACAUUAGUAACUUUUUUGAGAAAUGUUUGAGAUUCCUAAUUCCUAUUGCUGUAACAGUUCCUACUUGGAAAGUACUACAGCAAAAAAUAAAACUGAUGAUGUAUGCUUGAGUAAGGUGCCUAAUUGCCUGUGCUUCAUUUAUACAUUAUUUCUUCAUUUCAUGGAGAAGACGGAGACUACCAAGUUGCCAUUUGCAUUCAAAUAUGUAUUCCUUUCCACACGACAAUGAUGGUUGCUUUCACUGCGCCUCAGGUAUGAAGACUCUUAUGCUUUGAUUCCUUUAAAUUUUGAAGAAUUGAAAAUGAGCUAAUUUUAUUCGUUUUAGUUAGACUUUUUUGUAUUGCUUGCUAAUUGCUUCCUUCAUUGUGACGAUGUACUUUCAUGUGAAAGGAUGAUGAAGAGCUUCUUGUUAUGGUUAUGGUUUUUUGGUACUCACUAUUUGUGUUCACUAAAUAUUCUGUAAAAUGACACUCUUAUGAUUGUAUAUAAUUUUGUGCUCAAAACUCUUGAUGGGCAGAGAAAUGUUUGUCACAUCCCCGGCUGCCGUUCCAGGCUCCCUUUCUCUUUUAGUGUUCAGAAGAAAGACAAUCUGCUAUUAAGUGGAAAAAUCUGUCAAGCUUGUAUUUGAAAUGAAUAUGUUAAAAUGGAUAGUUACGAGAUUCAUCUCUUAUUUUUCCUUAUUCUGUUUUUAUUUUGUUAAAAUUCUCCUUACAUGUCAUGACGCUGGAGUUUAACACUGCUUGUGUUUGUUUGUGCAUGUCAUUCCAUUAGGCCUAAUGUGGAGUCUCAAGUCAUGCUGAGAGCAUCAAUUUUCCAUUACCCUGGCUUUUAGAAAUAUUAUAAACAUGGUUGAGAACGGUUUAUGUAGUUGCUAUGGCCCUGAAUCAUUUUCUCGAAACAUUUGGCAAAUUGGUUAAUUAGGUUGGAGUGUUGUUUUUCAUGUAUUAUAAUUUUAAGGACCUUUGUUUGGAUGAAACAGGAAACGAGAGUAUGGAGUUGUAGUACCAGCCCAGUGGCCAAAUGCUUUUUUUGAAUAUGAUGUUGCUCUUCGACUAGUUAUAGCUCUGUCAACUGAAUAUCGCAAGUAUAAUGGUGUUGUUUGGACAUCUUGUCCUUCAAUAUAUGCUUAUGCUUUUUGUGAUUGUGAUUCUGAUGGUAAAAUUUCCAUAAAAAUUCUAAGUGCAGUUCGGGGAGAUUUCUGAUGGCUAUUGAUGCAGAAGCGCGAGAUUUCCUCAAAAAGAGAUUGAGCUUUUACUGUCAGCAAUGCCCAGGAGCGAUGCCGCAACAAGCGCUUGACGGUUGAAUAUGACAUGACACUCAUGACGCCAAGGGGCAUUCUUCAGUGGUACUCUCCUUUCUGGUGAAGCGAAUGGAAGUUAUUGAGAUUGUCACCACCCGUGAUAUUGUCUUUACUCUUGCACAUUCUGGUGUUUGUGCAGCUUUUAGUAGAGGUAGUAUCCCGGCUAAUGCUUAUAUUGUGACAGCAUGUUGAUUUUUAAUGCUGCAUGAAAACUUUAGUGUGUGAUUUUUGCUGGUGUAUUAAUGUGUAUAUAUGGGAUCUAAAGCAUUUUACAAUUUAUAACUUUUCUUUUAUCUUCCUCUCUUAAGUGGUAACUUUUAUGUUUUGUAUGUCUUCACAUUCUUGUUUUCAAAGUUUGUGGCUACUUCGGUACCCUUAAAAUCACAAAUUGACCGUUGGGCUGGAGCCUUAGUGAAAUGGAUGAAAGUUCACUGGGAUUAGCCUUGUCUGCAACUUUUUCGAGUUGGUUUGAAUUUACUGGCUAGGCGCCAGUCUUGGCCAUUAAACUGAUUCGGGCCUAGAUUUAUUUGCCUGGCCUGGCUGUUAUGGUCUACAUUUGUAUAAGACCUUUCUCUGAUUGGAUAGAUUGCCUUGUCUA